UCCCUAACCAACUGUCAAAAGUCAUUAUAAAAUUAAAUUAAUAUGAUGUUGACUUUAUAUACAAAUCGGAAUUGUUAAAACUUGUGAAUAUUUCUGAUGUAACACUUUGCGCGUGUAGCCACGGUUUGUUAAACAUCCCGGCGAAUCCCUCAUUUCAAUCAAAAUUACAUCGUGCUAGUGAUAAUGCUCGUUCUUUUGUCCGCCUGCUUUUACCUUACAUUUGGGUUCUUAGUUGUGUACUUAAUAUGCCUGUUUAUUGUGAUAUGCCUGUCUAUUUUCUUUGGCUAUAACCCGCUUGAUGACUAGGAAACCGAUCGUUUGCAAGUGAAAUAUGCAGGAGUAGGCAGUAAAAAUUACAGAUUGAAAAUAUUGGAAAAUCACAAUGCAAGUCAAGUAAAUCCCCAGAAAAUUGCGUUUCGCGAGGAACAACCCCGAAAAAAUCUCAGACAGGCGGUUUCUAUUGUGUGACCAGGACGCACCCGUGGCCUUUCUGUUUGCAGACCCCG